rnacentral:rRNA from 1 species
UGCAAGCGUUAAUCGGAAUGACUGGGCGUAAAGGGUGCGUAGGUGGCGUUAUAAGUCAGUUGUGAAAUCCCCGGGCUUAACCUGGGAACUGCAAUUGAUACUGUGGUGCUAGAGUUUGGGAGAGGAUAGUGGAAUUUCCGGUGUAGCGGUGAAAUGCGUAGAUAUGUGGAGGAACACCGAUGGCGGAGGCAGCCCCCUGGGUUGACACUGACGCUCAUGCACGAAAGC